rnacentral:rRNA from 1 species
AGAGUUUGAUUAUGGCUCAGAACGAACGCUGGCGGCAGGCUUAACACAUGCAAGUUGAACGGGAAUUGUGUGGUGCUUGCACCAUAUGACGAGAGUAGCGCACUGGUGAGUAACACGUGGGAACAUGCCUUUUGGUGGGGGACAACAGAGGGAAACUUCUGCUAAUACCGCAUAAGCCCUGAGGGGGAAAGAUUUAUCGCCGAAAGAUUGGCCCGCGGAAGAUUAGGUAGUUGGUGGGGUAAAGGCCUACCAAGCCGACGAUCUAUAGCUGGUCUGAGAGGACGAACAGCCACAUUGGAACUGAGACACGGUCCAGACUCCUACGGGAGGCAGCAGUGAGGAAUAUUGGGCAAUGGAGGAGAACCUCUGACCCAGCCAUGCCGCGUGAGUGAAGAAGGUUUUCGAAUUGUAAAGCUCUUUCGGGUGGGACGAUGAUGACGGUACCACCUAAAGAAGCCCCGGCAAACUUCGUGCCAGCCGCCGC